UUUUCAAACAAUCGUAAUAAUAACAUUUUUUAUUAAUUGGAUAACUUUUAAUUAUAUAUCAAUAUGUCUAGAGUAUAUAAUAUGGACUUCCUUAGCGAAGAUAUGAUUAUGAUAAAUGUAUUAACGUAUCCUAAUUCAAACAGAAUUUCUGGAAGAAAGUUGCUUUGUAACUCAAUUCUGUACCUGGAUCAUGUAAAAAUGCUUAUAAAUGGUGUAAGGUGAGAGUGAUGAGAGUAAUCAAAGUGGCUUGGAAUUACUAGCAGAAGGUACCAACGACUCUCAGUUGAACUGUGAUAAAAUGGCUUCAGAUGAAGAAGACAACAAAACUUUAAGAUACUUUGUAAUGGUAUUCAAGAGAUCAUGAUGAUAAUAAGAAUUUGAUUACCAAAUCAGGUAUUUUGAAGAGUUUAGAAUAAGAUCGGAAUUAUCAUCAGAAAAGAAGUGAUGUCAACAGAAAAGUGAAAAGCUAAGACUAAGGGCAAUAGAACCUAUACUAAAAAGAGAGAAAUACAAGUGAAGGAAAUUGAAAUAAAGUUAAUUAAUUAACAUAUUGGGAAGAGGAGAAAUAAAAAUGCUUCAAGGAGAUAUCGGCUUCAUUAAAAGAAUUAUUAAAAAGAAAGAGAAGUUCAU